GCCUGGAUGGUCUAGUCGUAUGAUUCUCGCUUUGGGUGCGAGAGGUCCCGGGUUCAAAUCCCGGUUCGGGCC
rnacentral:tRNA from 1 species